AUUUAUUCUUUACUUGAGUUGUUUUGUAUCUCAUAUAGGAUGGAAGUGGUCAACAUUGAGUUGGAGGAUUGAAGCGGUGAUAGUAAAGAUCAUUAAGUGACAAUAUUUGCAAUUGGUAGUAAUCUAGAUUACAUGGUGAUGAAGUCCGAAUUUGGUACAGCUUGACUCAAUCCAAUGUCCUCCAAGAGGAGAAGAAGAUGAGCCCAUGGUGGCACUAGUGUAGUGCCAGUCAAAAUCCCUCCAAUACUUAAGCUAGUAAACUUAGCAAAUUUUAGAGAAAAGAUGUAAAGAUAGGGCAUUUUUGUAGAGAGAGAGACACAUACCCUUUUGUCUUCCAUCUCUUCUUUAUAUAGGAGGUCGUUGGUGGAUGCCCUAAGAUGUAAUGGGCCCCUUACACAA
rnacentral:lncRNA from 1 species